rnacentral:rRNA from 1 species
AUUGAACGCUGGCGGUAUGCUUAACACAUGCAAGUCGAACGGUAACGGUCCUUCGGGAGCCGACGAGUGGCGGACGGGUGCGUAACGCGUAGGAAUCUGCCUGUUAGUGGGGGACAACGUGGGGAAACUCACGCUAAUACCGCAUACGCCCUACGGGGAAAGCGGGGCGUCUUCGGACCUCGCGCUAACAGAUGAGCCUGCGUUGGAUUAGCUAGUUGGUAGGGUAAAGGCCUACCAAGGCGACGAUCCAUAGCUGGUCUGAGAGGACGAUCAGCCACACUGGGACUGAGACACGGCCCAGACUCCUACGGGAGGCUG